rnacentral:rRNA from 1 species
GAUGAACGCUGGCGGCGUGCCUAAUACAUGCAAGUCGAGCGAACCACUUCGGUGGUGAGCGGCGAACGGGUGAGUAACACGUAGGUGAUCUGCCCAUCAGACGGGACGAACGAUUGGAACGAAUCGCUAAUACCGGAUAGGACGAAAGUUUAAAGGUUAGCUUCUGGCACCGCUGAUGGAUGAGCCUCGCAGCGCAUUAGCUAGUUGGUAGGGUAAAGGCCUACCAAGGCGACGAUGCGUAGCCGACCUGAGAGGGUGAACGGCCACACUGGGACGUGAGACACGGCCCAGACUCCUACGGGAGGCAGCAGUAGGGAAUCUUCGGCAAUGGGCGAAAGCCUGACCGAGCAACGCCGCGUGAAUGAUGAAGGGCCUUUCGGGUUGU